rnacentral:rRNA from 1 species
CGGAGGAUCCAAGCGUUAUCCGGAAUCAUUGGGUUUAAAGGGUCCGUAGGCGGUUUAGUAAGUCAGUGGUGAAAGCCCAUCGCUCAACGGUGAACGGCCAUUGAUACUGCUAAACUUGAAUUAUUGGGAAGUAACUAGAAUAUGUAGUGUAGCGGUGAAAUGCUUAGAGAUUACAUGGAAUACCAAUUGCGAAGGCAGGUUACUACCAAUAUAUUGACGCUGAUGGACGAAAGCGUGGGGAGCGAACAGGAUUAGAUACCCUGGUAGUCCACGCCGUAAACGAUGGAUACUAGCUGUUCGGAGCAAUCUGAGUGGCUAAGCGAAAGUGAUAAGUAUCCCACCUGGGGAGUACGUUCGCAAGAAUG